UCAACUUCUCAGCCUCUGAACGUAAGACAACAACAACAUGGGCAAUAUUUACGGUCAACUACAAAUACCAGCCACAGCCUAUCGUCUGCAGAUACUAUUCCAGAUGUAAGGAGCAGUACACCAGAUACAGCUGUUGGAAGAAGCUCUGCAGAUGUUGGACGUCUCUUCAGAGCCAUGGUGACCGAAUCAGCACCACUUUUCGAUGAUAUCGCUGAGGAGGAUGAUUCAUCAAGAGAGGUGAUUCUGAAUCUUGUUCCAGCACCAGAGGGUAGAUCACCAGAAAGUGGAAGCCUGACUCCUGACCUAACACAGAUGGCACAAGAUAAGGAUUUGGAUAUACAUGAGCCUGUUAUAA